AAACGCCUUCUUAGGUGAUUUCUUUUGAUUUGCGGAAGACUGGUGGGUAAAGUUACUCGCCGAUACCAGUGGUGGGAGGUUGCAGCUAACUUGUGGUAUAGUGAGUCCACAAGCUUGCCUAGAUAUCAGUAUUAUUUUAAGAAAAAAGGACAUGCUCACACCCAUGCUACCCGUCCAUAUAAUCUAGGUAAACAAAGGGUCCAUGUAAUACACUGCCUUAUGGAGCGCCAUUUUUUCUCGAUAUUGCAGUUUAUUUUAGCACGGCAAAACCUGCAUAUUUGUGCAAGGAACCAUAUUCCCUCCAUUGAUUAACGGAGAAAGUGCCUUUUGUAAGUUGAUUAUUUUACUUAUAUUUUGUAACCUAAGUUGAAGACUCAUUCUUGCAGUCCUUUUUUUUGCGAUAAGUAAUUGGAGAGUAGUAUUAUAUCAGAAAAACCAGCAUGGAGAAAGUGCUGGUUGUCAUGUACAACCCAAUUACAAGCUGUGCAGAUUACUAAUAGAAUAUAUCAUAGCUUCUACGUCAUUAACAUUGAUUCUAGCCAUGUUACACCAAAAAAGGAGCAAAGAGAUUCAUGCUUAAGGCUAACUAUGUUUCUCCUCUUUGUCUUCAAAAAUCUUGCAAGCAUCUUAUAAAGCUCCCUCCUUCCUCCAAAUGGGUGGUUAGUGGGGACAUCUGAAGUGUAGCGUAGUGGCCCUUGAGUAGCUAAGCUGGGAACUCAUUGGGUGGGCAGUGACAUUUGUCCUUCCAAACGUGUCAAGUUUGCAACAGAAUUCGCUUUGUACAAGACUGCAGGAAGAUUAGUAGUCAUGAACGCUUAUUGAAGUUUGAUCACUGAACAAGUUUGAAAUGAAAAAAUCAAAAGGAAAUGGAAGUCAUUUUACAAUAUACAUCAUUUGGUGAAUAGCUUAAUCAGAAAUUAGUUGGGGUUGGCUACACCGCUUCAUUUGGACCUGUUCCAUUCCAAUAUUCAUUAGUUUGGAUUCUCAUUUGUUUGGUAACUGAAGUCAAUAUCUGAUAACAUAUCUUGAGGUUUAUUUAAUUUCCUAUUCAGCGUUGAGUUUUUUAAAUUCCUCUGAUGAAGUACUGGCACUAAUGUCUGUGAGUAGGCAUGUUCAUUUCUAUGGAGCCACAUUGCCACAAUAAAUAGAGUGCAAACUCCCACCAACAUGAUAUUAUGCUUUAUAAAUGUCACAUUUUUUUGUCACGUCCCCAAGAAUUGGAUCUCCAACUGAGCUCUGGCUUCUGGUGCCACAAUAAAUAGAGUGCUAAUUCCCACCAACAUGAUAUUAUGCUUUAUAACUGUCACGUUUUUUGUCACUUCCCCAAGAAUUGGAUCUCCAACUGAGCUCUGGCUUCUGGAAUACCGGGCCAGAUCAACCCCUGUUUUCCAACUAUUUUGAAGAAUUUGUCACCAUAAUUAGUUGUCUCUCGGUAGUUGAAGAUUGUCGUAUUUGUUCAUGAUGACAAAAACUCACUAUUGUUAGACUGUGAAAAACUUUGAAAGGUAUUAAGUACUUGAUCAUUUGUGUUUCUUCAGCUUACCAGGUCAAAGGUGGCAGCCCGGAGCUCUUUAUUGCAGUUAUCUGGUCGUUUGCAGCUCGUAAUGGCACAGGUUGGUUACUUGAAU
rnacentral:lncRNA from 1 species